GCCUGAGAGCUCCGCUAGCCGGAGAUGGAUUUGAGCAGCUGCUUUUCUCCAUGUCUCUUCAAUUAAAAAUUCCUUCCUUACUUGGCAACCCUGGUCUCAAUCAUUGGAUCUUUGUGCAAGGAGCAACUGGAUCUAGACGCAAACCCCCUGCAGUGUGGACAACAGGAAGACUCUUCCAGAAGGUGCCAUUGCUGCCAAGACCGCCAAGAAACCGCAGGGCCUGCACAAGUCCCAGGAUCGGGACAGUGCACCCGGCAGGUGACGGAAAGAGCCGAAAGUUGGCGACAAAGGCCGGGGGACCACGGGAAGGGCCGAAGAGGUUUGGCAAAGAGAGCCAAAAGGCCUCAGGGAGGACCGAGUUACGACGGAGAGGGCCGAGGAUGGACGGAAACCACCGAGGGUUGAGGAAGAGAGCCGAACGGCGGAUGGGCGGCGGGGCCCUGCAGCCAAAGCUCCGGGGAUGCACAGAAAGAACGUAGGGAGGAAAGGAGAGUGGCCAGGGGGCCCGCAGCGAUGAGGGAGGGGACGCUCCCGCAGGAACCGCCUCCUGGCCCACAGCAGCAGAGACUCCAGCCAUCACACACAUGCUCCACACCUGACUGCAAGGAAGAGAUGGAGAAUGGCUGCUCCUCCCUUCCAGAUCUGCCCAGGAAUUCCAGUGGCCCCCUGCUCACCACUUAGUCCUGUACCCCCCCUGGGAUGUGCAAGAGCCCAGGAGAAAAAGCCUUUUUAGAUGCCCAGCCCAGCAAGUUCCUGGUCUCUUACAGAAAAGGAAGAAAGACAUGCAUCAAGAUGAUCCCUGGUUUCUAGGACAGUGACGCCCAGGGAUUUGGGAACCUGGGACAGCCCACAGGAAAAGCAAGGUAAGCAAGAGCAAGCAUUGUUGUUCAGACUUAAGUGGUGCCCUUCCGCAUUGCUAAGAAUCCCUCAUGAUAUAGUCAUCCUUCUCUUCUUGGUAUGAGAGGGAGACACCUUUACAAAUGGAAGUAGGUCUCCUUCACAGACGUAAAUUUCCCUGACAAAAAGGUAACUUCUGGCCUGUUUUCAGAGCUUCUCCUGGGUCUGCAGUGUUUCAAAAUUAUCAGCUCA